UACGGGGGGGGCAAGCGUUGUUCGGAAUUACUGGGCGUAAAGGGCUCGUAGGCGGCCAACUAAGUCGGACGUGAAAUCCCCAGGCUCAACCUGGGAACUGCGUCCGAUACUGGAUGGCUUGAAUUCGGGAGAGGGAUGCAGAAUUCCAGGUGUAGCGGUGAAAUGCGUAGAUAUCUGGAGGAACACCGGUGGCGAAGGCGGCAUCCUGGACCAAUUCUGACGCUGAGGAGCGAAAGCCAGGGGAGCAAACGGG
rnacentral:rRNA from 1 species